rnacentral:rRNA from 1 species
AUUGAACGCUGGCGGCAUGCCUUACACAUGCAAGUCGAACGGCAGCACGGGUGCUUGCCCCUGGUGGCGAGUGGCGAACGGGUGAGUAAUACAUCGGAACAUGUCCUGUAGUGGGGGAUAGCCCGGCGAAAGCCGGAUUAUUACCGCAUACGAUCUACGGAGGAAAGCGGGGGACCUUCGGGCCUCGCGCUAUAGGGUUGGCCGAUGGCUGAUUAGCUAGUUGGUGGGGUAAAGGCCUACCAAGGCGACGAUCAGUAGCUGGUCUGAGAGGACGACCAGCCACACUGGGACUGAGACACGGCCCAGACUCCUACGGGAGGCAGCAGUGGGGAAUUUUGGACAAUGGGCGAAAGCCUGAUCCAGCAAUGCCGCGUGUGUGAAGAAGGCCUUCGGGUUGUAAAGCACUUUUGUCCGGAAAGAAAUCCUUGGCCCUAAUACGGUCGGGGGAUGACGGUACCGGAAGAAUAAGCACCGGCUAACUACGUG